UAUAAGACAGUGCGAAAGGUAGCCAAAAGAUCUGCAUCUGUCAAAGGAUGAAGUGCCAGGAAAUCUUGACAUUUUGUUAGGUACAAUAAAGGAUUUGUAGUAAGCUGAUCCAAACUUCCCUGGAGGGUUUGCUGGAUUGAUUUGAGAUCAUGGUGGACAUCUCUCCGGAGUUUUUCCACUUUGUCAACAACUGCUGAGGGUGGUGAUUUGAUUCACAUGCUGGGAUGAUGAAGUUUUCAGCUUUUGAGGGUUGGAAGGUUCCCAGGCAGAUCAUGCUGUUCCAUUGUAGAAGGUGAUGAAACAUCUGCAGACGUGCACAGUUGCAUGCUAACAUGUUCCUGGGACAAAGAAAGAGGUUGCAUUAGAAUAUGGCCUCCCAGAGCAGUAGGAAGUGUCUGUACUGGAGUUGCAUGGCUUGGGAAACUAUGGACCGGUGAAAUAUUAUGCAUAAUUUGGUCAUGAGGUGGAAGUCCAGAAAGUGUUUGAGUUUGCACUGGAGGUGACCACACUGGCGUGGAAAUUGUUGGGGCAUCAGGUGCAUCAAUAUCAACAUAUGUUGACGUUGAAUGGGAAAAGAACUGGGCCAUGACUUGUGUUGGUUGUGGGUGUGAUUAGGAUUUGUGUGUGUUUGGGACAGCAGAAAAAAAAUAAAUAAAUAAAUAAAAAAACCAAUAAAACAAAAAAUACUCACAAAGAAACUGUUCUCUGCAAUCAAUUACAUCAUGUCCAUACUAUCAAUGUAAGAGAAACCUUUCAAAUGCAUGUACAAAAAUACAAGACAGAUGACGAUCACAUUUUCUAGUUCAAGUUCCCACACACUUUGAUACAAAAAAUAAAUUCAGCUUACACUGGUUGCUCAAGCAAAUUUUCACAAUAAACUCAAAUCAUUAUACCAAAAACCACAUACAUGACAAGUUUUUUUUUUUUUUUUUUUUUUUUUACACAAUUUCAGUUAUUUGAUGAUUUUUGUCAAUAGUUCUCACAUUCAGCAAGAAAAAAAACAAUUUUAAACUAUUAAACAUUCACAAACAAAACCCUGUCCAGUAAUUCAGGUCAGUCAGUCAGUCAAAGAAAUUUUCAGUUAUUCAAGUCAAUCAAUGAAAGUUUCAAUUAUUCAAGUCCCUUAAAGUGUUCAAUGUCCCUUAAAGUGUUCAUGUCCCUUAAAGUGUUCAAUGUCCCUUAAAGUGUUCAUGUCCCUGUUCGGGUGCCAUUUCUGUAACGGUGGUCACACACACACAAAAAAAAAAUUUUUAAUUAAUAACUCUUAGGUUAGAUUCGAACCCGGGUCUCCCGCAUGGCAGGCGAGAUUUCUACCACUGAACCACGGAAGGCGCUGUUGAGGCGGUGCGUCUGGUAAUAUCUCCCUCUAACGCAGUCACCCUCGGGCAAAAAAA